UGGGGAAUAUUGGACAAUGGGCGCAAGCCUGAUCCAGCAAUGCCGCGUGUGUGAAGAAGGCCUUCGGGUUGUAAAGCACUUUUAUCAGGAGCGAAACGCGUCGGCUAAUACCCGGCGGAACUGACGGUACCUGAGGAAUAAGCACCGGCUAACUUCGUGCCAGCAGCCGCGGUAAUACGAAGGGUGCAAGCGUUAAUCGGAAUUACUGGGCGUAAAGCGUGCGUAGGCGGUUUCUUAAGUCUGCUGUGAAAUCCCCGGGCUCAACCUGGGAAUGGCAGUGGAUACUGGGAGGCUAGAGUGUGUCAGAGGGUGGUGGAAUUCCCGGUGUAGCGGUGAAAUGCGUAGAGAUCGGGAGGAACAUCAGUGGCGAAGGCGGCCACCUGGGACAACACUGACGCUGAGGCACGAAAAGCGUGGGGAGCAAACAGGAUUAGAUACCCCGGUAGUCCACGCCCUAAAAGCGAUGCGAACUGGAUGUUGGUCUCAACUCGGAGAUCAGUGUCGAAGCUAACGCGUUAAGUUCGCCGCCUGGGGAGUACGGUCGCAAGACUGAAACUCAAAGGAAUUGACGGGGUCAUAGCUGUUUCCUG
rnacentral:rRNA from 1 species